UACGGGGGGGGCAAGCGUUGUUCGGAAUUACUGGGCGUAAAGGACUCGUAGGCGGCCAACUAAGUCGGAUGUGAAAUCCCCAGGCUUAACCUGGGAAUUGCAUCCGAUACUGGAUGGCUUGAAUCCGGGAGAGGGAUGCGGAAUUCCAGGUGUAGCGGUGAAAUGCGUAGAUAUCUGGAGGAACACCGGUGGCGAAGGCGGCAUCCUGGACCGGCAUUGACGCUGAGGAGCGAAAGCGUGGGGAGCGAACAGG
rnacentral:rRNA from 1 species